rnacentral:tRNA from 1 species
GGGGGUGUGUCCAAGCUGGUAAGGAUCCCGCUUUAGAAGUGGAUGCAUUAGUGCCUCGUGGGUUCAAGUCCCAUCACCCCCA